CCUACGGGCGGCAGCAGUGAGGAAUAUUGGUCAAUGGCCGAGAGUCUGAACCAGCCAAGUAGCGUGAAGGAUGACUGCGCUAAGGGUCGUAAACCUCUUUUACAUGGGAAUAAAACGUCCCACUCGUGCGAUCUUGUAUGUACCAUAUGAAUAAGGAUCGGCUAACUCCGUGCCAGCAGCCGCGGUAAUACGGAGGAUCCGAGCGUUAUCCGGAUUUAUUGGGUUUAAAGGGAGCGUAUGUGGAUUGUUAAGCCAGUUGUGAAAGUUCGCGGCUCAACCGUAAAAUUGCCGUUGAAACUGGCAGUCUUGAGUACCGUAGAGGUGGGCGGAAUUCGUGGUGUAGCGGUGAAAUGCUUAGAUAUCACGAAGAACUCCGAUUGCGAAGGCAGUUCACUGGACUGCAACUGACACUGAGGCUCGAAAGUGUGGGUAUCAAACAGGAUUAGAUACCCCUGUAGUC
rnacentral:rRNA from 1 species